rnacentral:rRNA from 1 species
CCUACGGGAGGCAGCAGUGGGGAAUAUUGCGCAAUGGGCGAAAGCCUGACGCAGCGACGCCGCGUGAGGGAUGAAGGUCUUCGGAUCGUAAACCUCUGUCAGCAGGGAAGAACGGUCACUGUGCUAAUCAGCAGUGAAUUGACCGUAACUGCAAAGGAAGCACCGGCCAAGUCCGUGCCAGCGGCCGCGGUAAUACGGAGGGUGCGAGCGUUAAUCGGUAUUUCUGGGCGGAAAGCGCACGUAGGCGGUAUGUCAAGUCAAGGGGGAAAUCCCCGGGCUCAACGUGGGAACUGCCUUUGAAACUGGCAAACUGGAGUGGGUGAGAGGAUAGUGGAAUUCCAGGUGUAGGAGUGAAAUGCGUAGAUAUCUGGAGGAAAAUCAGUGGCGAAGGCGACUAUCUGGCACAUAACUGACGCUGAGGAGCGAAAGCGUGGGUAGCAAACAGGAUUAGAUACCCCAGUAGUC